rnacentral:rRNA from 1 species
GAACGCUGGCGGCGUGCUUAACACAUGCAAGUCGAACGGAAAGGCCCUGCUUUUGUGGGGUGCUCGAGUGGCGAACGGGUGAGUAACACGUGAGUAACCUGCCCUUGACUUUGGGAUAACUUCAGGAAACUGGGGCUAAUACCGGAUAGGAGCUCCUGCUGCAUGGUGGGGGUUGGAAAGUUUCGGCGGUUGGGGAUGGACUCGCGGCUUAUCAGCUUGUUGGUGGGGUAGUGGCUUACCAAGGCUUUGACGGGUAGCCGGCCUGAGAGGGUGACCGGCCACAUUGGGACUGAGAUACGGCCCAGACUCCUACGGGAGGCAGCAGUGGGGAAUAUUGCACAAUGGGCGGAAGCCUGAUGCAGCAACGCCGCGUGCGGGAUGACGGCCUUCGGGUUGUAAACCGCUUUCGCCUGUGACGAAGCGUGAGUGACGGUAAUGGGUAAAGAAGCACCGGCUAACUACGUGCCAGCAGCCGCGGUGAUACGUAGGGUGCGAGCGUUGUCCGGAUUUAUUGGGCGUAAAGGGCUCGUAGGUGGUUGAUCGCGUCGGAAGUGUAAUCUUGGGGCUUAACCCUGAGCGUGCUUUCGAUACGGGUUGACUUGAGGAAGGUAGGGGAGAAUGGAAUUCCUGGUGGAGCGGUGGAAUGCGCAGAUAUCAGGAGGAACACCAGUGGCGAAGGCGGUUCUCUGGGCCUUUCCUGACGCUGAGGAGCGAAAGCGUGGGGAGCGAACAGGCUUAGAUACCCUGGUAGUCCACGCUGUAAACGGUGGGUACUAGGUGUGGGGUCCAUUCCACGGGUUCCCGUGCCGUAGCUAACGCUUUAAGUACCCCGCCUGGGGAGUACGGCCGCAAGGCUAAAACUCAAAGGAAUUGACGGGGCCCCGCACAAGCGGCGGAGCAUGCGGAUUAAUUCGAUGCAACGCGUAGAACCUUACCUGGGUUUGACAUGGAUCGGGAGUGCUCAGAGAUGGGUGUGCCUCUUUUGGGGUCGGUUCACAGGUGGUGCAUGGCUGUCGUCAGCUCGUGUCGUGAGAUGUUGGGUUAAGUCCCGCAACGAGCGCAACCCUUGUUCACUGUUGCCAGCACGUUAUGGUGGGGACUCAGUGGAGACCGCCGGGGUCAACUCGGAGGAAGGUGGGGAUGACGUCAAGUCAUCAUGCCCCUUAUGUCCAGGGCUUCACGCAUGCUACAAUGGCUGGUACAGAGAGUGGCGAGCCUGUGAGGGUGAGCGAAUCUCGGAAAGCCGGUCUCAGUUCGGAUUGGGGUCUGCAACUCGACCUCAUGAAGUCGGAGUCGCUAGUAAUCGCAGAUCAGCAACGCUGCGGUGAAUACGUUCCCGGGGCUUGUACACACCGCCCGUCAAGUCAUGAAAGUUGGUAACACCCGAAGCCGGUGGCCUAACCGUUGUGGGGGAGCCGUCGAAGGUGGGACUGGUGAUUAGGACUAAG